rnacentral:misc_RNA from 1 species
GAUGAAGAACGCAGCGAAACGCGAUAUGUAAUGUGAAUUGCAGAAUUCAGUGAAUCAUCGAAUCUUUGAACGCACAUGGCGCCUUCCAGUAUCCUGGGAGGCAUGCCUGUCCGAGCGUCGUUUCAACCCUCGAGCCCCCGUGGCCCGGCGUUGGGGAUCUGCCCAGGCAGUCCCCGAAAACCAGUGGCGGACCCGUUACAGGCCCUUCCCUUGCGUAGUAGCAUUCGCCUCGCAUCGGGAGCCGGCGGGCUUCCAGCCUCUAAACCCCCAUCACGUCCGCCCCGGCGGCACCAAGGUUGACCUCGGAUCAGGUAGGAAUACCCGCUGAACUUAAGCAUAUCAAUAAGCGGAGGA